UACGAAGGGGGCUAGCGUUGUUCGGAUUUACUGGGCGUAAAGCGCACGUAGGCGGAUUGGUCAGUUAGAGGUGAAAUCCCGAAGCUCAACUUCGGAACUGCCUUUAAUACUGCCAGUCUAGAGUCCGGAAGAGGUGAGUGGAACUCCUAGUGUAGAGGUGGAAUUCGUAGAUAUUAGGAAGAACACCAGUGGCGAAGGCG
rnacentral:rRNA from 1 species